AUGGAGUAGGCGCUCCAAACUAUCCUCAAAAUGGUCCCUAUGGUGGCUCUGCAGCAGGUCGAGGCUCAAACAUGAUGAGUGGAAAUUGCAAUCAACAGUAUGGUUGGCAGCAGUAAACGUUUGAUCUGAUCAUUAUAAUUCAUCACGAUAUGCACCUCCUUGGUCCAAGGGACAUGAGCUCGAUGGUUUAGCGAGUGUGAUCCCAAGGGUUCGAAUAGAAGCAUCAUUGAAUCGCUGCUAAAUAAUUUUUACAGGAUGUGAAUGUGAUUGAUUCAUAUGCAAAAUAUUCUCAAACUAGUGUUACGUUCUAACUUCUACCCAUUAAUCUGUUACUUAGAAAAAAGAUGCAGAAAAGCGGGAAGUUGUCAUAUGAGUUGUGUUUGGUUUACUUCUGCAAAUUUUUUUUAAAAAAAAUAUAUUAUAAAAAUAAAAAGGAAAAAUUGUUAACGGGUGACCAGCCUAUUAGCUUUACAGGUUGGUUUGGAUGAUCCGCUAACUUAAUAAGUCAAGUUAAAAUCGAUCCAAAUCCAAUAAAACUUAUUGAUUUACAUAUUUAAUUUAUUCAUUUGAUGUAGAUAAUAUUAUGUAUUCAAAAAAAAAAAAAAACAAAACAAAAUUCUCUAGUACCUCCCUUAUCCUCUUUCCCUAUUCCCUUUUAAAGCUGCAACAACGGGAGCCCAAUAAAGAACAAGCCGAAAACAGCCGACGCAACAGCGCCGUCGUCCACCGGUCACCAACGGCCGUCAAAUUACAUAUCCAGACUCCUCUUUCCGUCCUCUUUCCAACCCCCAAGUUAGUUUCUACAAAUUCGUGGCCAAAUUUCCUCAAUUGAAACGGCGACCGCGGGUUUUCCAGCCAAUAAUCUCGACCCAAGAGGUAUAAAUGAUCCUCUCCUGGUGGGCUGUCCUCCGAUAACCUGUGUUUUGUUUGGGGUAAACGUGCUACAGAAUACAUAUCUUCAGUGAACGUUGCUUGAGGUGUGAGUGGACAAAUUUUCUCUUGAAGGUGCUUCAACUUACCUUUUUGGUAGACAAGGCUCCUCAAGGUAGAGCUAGCCAGAGGUGUGAGUUGACAUUUAUUUCAGAAAUUUUUUCUUUGUCAAAUAUUAAGCAUGCAUAGAUAAAUAUGAUUUCCGUUAUGGUUUUUAUUCUCACACCUUCAGUUAAUCUCUUAAUUAACUUUCAAUCUAAAACUUGUCAAAGUACAGAAUAAAAAUAAGUUUGUACCCGUUCAUAUAAUUUAUUAUACAUGCAUAAAAUAAGCAACAUAAGUAGUAUUUUUGGAAAGAAAGUCCGGUGCAACAAAUGACAUUUUAUUGGUUUGUACAUAUGAGAUAGUAAAAGAAUUGUUGAAGCCACAACCUUCUUUGAAUUGUUGUCCUGCAUGCAUCGGAGAAUAUUAGAAAUCACUGAAAUUCAAAUAAGUUGAAAUGGUUAUGCUUAUUGUAUAUGUGUUUCCGAAAAUAGCAUCUUAAGGACUAAAUUCAUUUUUUAAGUACUAAACUUGUAUAUAUAUAUAUAUUCUAUAAAACGUGGUAGAAUGAUUUUUUGAGUACCAUAUAGAUAAUUUUCAUCAGUUUUUACUAAACCUAGAAGAAGUUGAAGAUGGAGACAUGUUAACCUUUGUGCUUGAUCAAUUAAUUGUGUUUGUCCUCCCUGUCGAUUUCAUCGUCUUCACCCAUCCUGUGUUAGGAAUAAAAGACAAAUGUUUUCUUGAGAUAUAAUUGAGUUUUCAAAAGAAGAAAAACAUAUCUAAAUAUACUUUAGUGUGCACAUACGCACAUUACAUGUAUACAUAUAUGCGUGUGUAUAUAUAGUAUUUGACAAAAUUUUGUCAAACUAAAUCUGAAGUGUUGAUUAUGCUUUGCAUAAAUUUGUCGUCGAAAUUUUUGUGGUGUUUGCCAUUAUGUUUUAGCUCGAAACCAGAACCUACUUAUUGGUUGAAUAACUAGAAAUUUAAGAUUAAGCAUAAUAUGCUAUCUUUCAGUCCUUCAUAAAAACAUUAGGAAUCCCACUCAUACGUCAAGAAUUAAAAGACAGCUGUUCUCUUGAGAUAUAAUCGAGUUAAAAAAUAGCGUAUUUAAAUACGCACACAUAAGUGACUGAAAAUUAGAAACCUUAAAUUAAAGCAUACCUUAGAGUGGCAUUGAGGUCCCCCAUCCAUUUAGCCCACUCCCAACGCGGUGCGUACUUGCAAUCGAGGAUGUGUGUCAACAUGCUUAGGAGCAAAUAGCCUUAAGCUUUGGACCUUCACAACCUCCAAUAACUCCAAAGACGGCAAUUACAAAGUAUAAGCUUCACCACAAAAAUACUUAAGUUUUGGCAGACUUCCAAGCUUGAUGGACUUCACUUUAGGUAAUGUAAUUAUUUCAUCAGUUUCUUCUGCGGCAAUGAUUUCUUCCAUCUGCUCUUACUUCAGAACUUCUAUGUCCUCUAUACUCGCAAGAAGUUUGACUAUGGACGAUGAAAACAAGUAUUUCAACUGGUUGCAAUAAUAGACCCGCAGCGAUUUCAAGUUUCCGAAGCUGCUUCCUGUCAACAUCGGUUGUGAAUUACCCGUCUCCCAAACAUGCGUUAAACUUGGCAGCUUCUGUAACUCGAAGGACCUCAAUUUAUUGAAUGCUUCAACGGAGUGACUACUUUCUUCAUGCUUCGGUCCCUUUAGUUGGAAAAUCACUUCCAUUGAAUUACAGUCACUUACAGUAAGAUUCCACGGAACUAUAAAGUUUAAGGAUAGGAUGAUAAUUUUGUAUUACCACGGAAAAUCACUUCCAUUGAAUUACAGUCACUUACAGUAAGAUUCCACGGAACUAUAAAUGAAGAUUUCACGGAACUAUAAAGUUUAAGGAUAGUAUGAUAAUUUUGUAUUACCAUGGCAGAUUACCUUAUGCUGCCAGAUUACCUUUAUUUUUCAUUUCUAUUUCAAAUUAUUUUAUUUCUUUCCUUUUUAUUUUCUCUUUUUAUUUAGAUGUGUAUUAAAAGUGGCAAAAAAUUAAUGUAUUCCUUUUUAUUUGUAAUUUGUAAGUGAAAGAUUUUAUGUUCAAUUAUUAUUAAAGACGAAUUUAAACUAUGUUACUUCUAGUCAUUAUUAUCAUCAAAACGUGUUCCGUCCUAUUUCACGUACCGAAUGCACUUUUAGUGAUAAAUAAUAGAGUUUAUUCCAUAAAAUAAAUGUAUAAAAGAAUUAAGAUAAAAAAAGUAGGAGAAACCAUUUUCUCUCCUCCUCCGGUAUCCUUUCUCCUCUUUUGCGCUGCAACAGAAGCCCCAUUAAACAGCAAGCUGACGACUGCCGAGUGCCGACACAAAAGCUCUGUCGUCCACGGGUCACCAAAGGCUCUCAAACUACACAUCCAGAAUGCUCUUGCCGUCCUUCAUCCAAUCCCCAAGUUAGUUUCUAUAAAUUCAUAGGCGAUUUUCCUCAAUUUCUAAUUUAAGAAACGGUGACCAAAACCGGCCAACUUCCGGUCAAUAUCACCGGAAUUGGACCUCGACCCAAGAGGUAGAAAUGAUCCUCUUCUUGUGGGCUGUUCUCCAAUGUAAGUUCUUUUUCCAAAUUUUCAACUUUCAGUUUUGGGAUUGAUUCUUGAUUUCGAAUUUUAUUCGAUUUUGUGUGUGAAUGUCGGAGAUGAGACUUAUGUUAAUUAUUGUAUCUGUAGAACAUGGUGUAGGCUUUAACUCUGUAGAACCUUGUAUUGUUGUGAAUAGGAAUUAUAAAAUUAUAAAAUUAUAAAAUUCAUAGGAAUUUUAUAAUUCAUUGGAACACUUUUUCAUAGGAAUUAUAAAAUUCAUGGAAAGAAUGUGAAAAUGUGGUACGGAAUUAGAAAAUGGGGGCCAAAAUCAUGUUAUGAUGAAGGCAAUAGCUUAGCCUGAUUCCUUGUUUACUGUAGUUUUCCAAAUUAUCAUAACAAAUAAGCAAACUCUAAUUUAGAAACAAACAGUUAUAAUCACAAUCGAAAUUUAUAAUACAUAAAAUAAGCAACAUAAAUAGUAUUUUUGGAAUGAAAUUCUGGUGCAACAAAUGACCUUUUAUUGGCUUGUACAUAUGAUAUGGUAAACGAAUUGCUGAAGCCACAACGUUCUGUAAACUCUUGUCCUGCAUGCAUUGGAGAAUAUUAGAAAUCACUGAAGUUGGAAUAAGUUGAAAUGGUAAUGCUUAUUGUACAUGUGUUUCAGAAAAUAGCGGUUUAAGGACAAAAUUAAUUUUCAAGUCACUUAGCACUACAGUUAGUUCAUGGAUUUUAGAGGUGCUAAAGAUCUGUAUUAGGGUUUUCUUUAUGGGCGAGAAACCUAAUACUCUCACCUAUAAAUAUAAGGCUUAGGUCCCACUUUUAUACACAUUAUUCUAGCACAAAACACUACCCCAUAUAGGAGUGCAUAAGGCGUGUAGAGAGAGAUGAAGAUCUUUGCUUGUUCGUUGCUGAUCAUGGUUCAAUCUUGUUCAUAUCAAUGGCUUCUCAAGGUUAGUACUUUUAGAGUGCAUAUUAUAGAUGGAAUUGCAUUGGGUACCUCAAAAAAAAUGAAUUAGGUAGCAGAAUGUGGUUCGACGAUCCUUAUUGUUCAAUUUUUAAAGUACUAUCCAUGUAUGUAUAUAUUCUAUAAAACAUGGUAGAAUAAUUUUUUGAGUACUUUAUAGAUAA